rnacentral:rRNA from 1 species
CCUACGGGAGGCAGCAGUGGGGAAUAUUGCACAAUGGGGGCAACCCUGAUGCAGCGACGCCGCGUGAAGGAUGAAUGAUUUCGGUAUGUUAACUUCUAUCAGCAAGGAAGUAAAUUACGGUACCUGUCUCAGAAGCCCCGGCUAACUCCGUGCCAGCAGCCGCGGUAAUACGUAGGGGGCAAGCGUUAUCCGGAUUUACUGGGUGUAAAGGGAGCGUAGACGGGAUGGCAAGUCUGAUGUGAAAACCCGGGGCUCAACCCCGAGACUGCAAUUGAUACUGUCAGGCUAGAGUGUCGGAGAGGCAAGUGGAAUUCCUAGUGUAGCGGUGAAAUGCGUAGAUAUUAGGAGGAACACCAGUGGCGAAGGCGGCUUGCUGGACGAUGACUGACGUUGAGGCUCGAAAGCGUGGGGAGCAAACAGGAUUAGAUACCCGAGUAGUC